UAAACCAAGCGCUUAGUGGGAGGCAACCCACCGAUUUUGUACUUUGGAGUCAUUUGAAACAAAAGAAGAAGAAACGUCGCUUAAAAGGAAAAAAGAUGCAAAUGCUGCUGGAGGCGAACUAUUUCUCAUUAUUUGCUUCUAAUUCUUCAUCUCUGGCUGAAAAGUAUGUCAGCUUUAGUGAUGCAAAUUCAUUGUCUGAAAAGCAUGACAGUUUUAGUGAUGUAUAGAAAUUAAAGGAAAGAAGUGGAUAUGAGAAACAAAAGACAGCUGCUGCGGUGAAAGAAUUCAAAGAGGAGCAAAAAAACGCCAUGCCAAUAAACUGGAGACCAAGGACGUUGGUGGCAGGGAACCAGGAGAUGAUGCCAAUUCUCGACAACUACGAACUCGUAGCUCAUGCCAAUUGAGUCACGAGCUAGGUGGAUUGCUAGUUUGAAGGCAGUCAUGGGCUUAGUGGAGAGGGCUCACUUGUACCAGCUGAAGUAGAAAGGUUGUGUCUAUUCUAGACCACAAAUUCUGAGUGGAGUUCACAUCAUGGGCACUACACAUGUGUUGGUAGAGAAAAUGCAAGAGAAAUGAAACUUAGGUUUCGAUAGAAACCAAUAUUGUAACCAGAAAAGGAGAUCUAGUUCUUCUUCAUUGCAAGGUGAGAUGCUGCAAUUUUCUUCUUGCAACCAGACAGGGAUCGAGAUGGGUAUUCGCCAGGAAUCAAGAGCUAUACUUGGAACGAAUAAGAAGACUGAAAAAGUGGCCGGGUCUGCUGGUGUUUUGGGGUGGAUUUGAGUUGCAUUUUAACUCGAAAUUUCAACUGAAAUUGGAUUGUCAUUGUUGUUAUUCGAGUAAGGAAUGGAAGAGAUACAGAGACAAGAGCUUCAGUGGUGGCUAUGGACUGAAAUCAACAAGGAAAAGCUGGUUCGAAUGUACAGCCUGGGUGAACAUUGGAGCAAGGGAAAGUGCUUGAACAAAGAAGGUUAAAGCUCAGAUUGUAGGUUGAAAUAGGUUUGAUUCGGAGCUGAUUUUGCUUGCAAGAAUUGGGUAUAAGCUGAAUUCGUUAAUGAAGAACUUAGAAAGAAGCAGUAGAUUUGAGAUCUGAAGAUGGUGAUAAGAAGAUGGAGUUGUUUCUGUCAAUCGAGUCUGAGCUGGUGAUGAUUGUAUUGCUAGGAAGAUGGGGACGAUGUAAGUAAAUAAUUGGAGCUAAGAUGAGGAACGCAAUUGGUGGUGCUGUAGCUUUGAGAAAAAAUGCAGAGAAGGUUAUAAUGCGACCAGAUGAAGUUCUUGUAAGAUGCAGUAAUGGGUGUUUUGAAGUUGUGAAGCUACAAAAGACCGGAGUAAGUUAUGGCUCAAGAAUGGGGAUGAGAUGCUGCUGUAGGAGUGAAUGGGUUCAGCUGGAUUGUUCAGCUGAGAAUGAAUUAAGAGCUUGGAUGCACUGUUGUUGCUGCCAUAGGUUGAAUUGAAGUGCAGCUGAUGAUUUUUGGUGGCAAGAGUAUUAUCUGUAGCUGAGGUGAAUUGCAGUGGCAAUGAAGCUGUGCAGAAGUUAUAUUAUGAUGUCGCAGAGACUGGUAGUUUUGCAAGAGUUGUAGCUGAGGAGGAGUACUUGAAUGUGUAGGAUUGAGUGAUACUGGGAAUGGAAAAUUGGCUAUUAAUUGGUGCUGCAAUGAAUUAAAGGGAAUGAAGGAGCCGGAGUUAUUGAGCUGAACUGCUGGUGGUGUUGUAUGUUGAGGCAAUGAACUGGAACUGUUGGUUGCCAAAGCUGUGACUGAGCUACAGUUGCAGGAAAGAACAAGAUGAAUGUAUGUUGCUGGUAAUUUAGGUGUCAAGAGUUAUGGGAAGUAAAGCUGAUUGUACUGAGAUAGUGAAAACAGUGAAGGAAUGGAAUUGAUGUUGACGAGACUCAAAUUUGGAACAUGGUGCUGAUUACUUUGGGUCUAAGGAAUGUGUAAGCUGGUGAUGCUGGCUUAACGGUAUUGUUGUUGACCUAACUGAAUAGAUGCUGAAUGAAUGACUUUGAAUAGAUGAAUACUAGGUUGUGCAUGGAAGCAAAGAAAUGGCCUGAAAUUAUGGCCGGGAUACAGCCAAAAAUAGGGAAACUCUGCCUGAAUUUUACCCCAGGCGAGUUAACUCAGCUGACUCACCGAUCCAGGAGUUUAGACUUGGGCUCUGAUAUGUGGGCUUGACUUUUGGGUUGCUUCGGAAGCAACUGUCGGCUUAUGCAGUUUGGAAAAGGAGAAAGUAUAUAAAGGAAGGGAUCUAUCUAUUCUAUCUCAACUUCUACUUUGGUUAUAGGGUUACAACAUGAUAGGUUUUAUCUUCCUCCUUGUUAUGAACUCCAUGAAUAUGAGUACCUAGUUUUUGUCAUUGGUUAAGGAAUAAGUUGGACUUCCAAACAUGGGUUGUGUUCAAUAAAGUAGUUUUGUCUCCA